rnacentral:rRNA from 1 species
ACGCUGGCGGCGUGCCUAAUACAUGCAAGUAGAACGCUGAAGGAGGAGCUUGCUUCUCUGGAUGAGUUGCGAACGGGUGAGUAACGCGUAGGUAACCUGCCUGGUAGCGGGGGAUAACUAUUGGAAACGAUAGCUAAUACCGCAUAAUAUUGAUUAUUGCAUGAUAGUCAAUUAAAAGGUGCAAUUGCAUCACUACCAGAUGGACCUGCGUUGUAUUAGCUAGUUGGUGAGGUAACGGCUCACCAAGGCAACGAUACAUAGCCGACCUGAGAGGGUGAUCGGCCACACUGGGACUGAGACACGGCCCAGACUCCUACGGGAGGCAGCAGUAGGGAAUCUUCGGCAAUGGACGGAAGUCUGACCGAGCAACGCCGCGUGAGUGAAGAAGGUUUUCGGAUCGUAAAGCUCUGUUGUAAGAGAAGAACGAGUGUGAGAGUGGAAAGUUCACACUGUGACGGUAUCUUACCAGAAAGGGACGGCUAACUACGUGCCAGCAGCCGCGGUAAUACGUAGGUCCCGAGCGUUGUCCGGAUCUAUUGGGCGUAAAGCGAGCGCAGGCGGUUAGAUAAGUCUGAAGUUAAAGGCUGUGGCUUAACCAUAGUACGCUUUGGAAACUGUUUAACUUGAGUGCAAGAGGGGAGAGUGGAAUUCCAUGUGUAGCGGUGAAAUGCGUAGAUAUAUGGAGGAACACCGGUGGCGAAAGCGGCU